AGCACGGUGGCGCAGAGGUAGCGCGUUGGGCUCAUAACCCGAAGGUCGGUGGUUCGAUUCCAUCCUGUGCUA
rfam:Nosema ceranae BRL01 Nc000109, whole genome shotgun sequence.